rnacentral:rRNA from 1 species
GACGAACGCUGGCGGCGUGCCUAACACAUGCAAGUCUGGGAGAAUAAGGUAGCAAUAUCUUUAGUAAACCGGCGCACGGGUGAGUAAUACGUAGGUAACCUGCCCUUUGGUCUGGGAUAACCCCGCGAAAGCGGGACUAAUACCGGAUGAUGCAGCGGCUCCACAUGGAGAUGUUGUUAAACCCCGUAAGGGGGCCAAUGGAUGGGCCUGCGUCCCAUUAGAUAGUUGGUGAGGUAACGGCUCACCAAGUCUGCGAUGGGUAGCUGAUCUGAGAGGAUGAUCAGCCACACUGGAACUGAGACACGGUCCAGACUCCUACGGGAGGCAGCAGUGAGGAAUAUUGCGCAAUGGACGAAAGUCUGACGCAGCGACGCCGCGUGAAGGAAGAAGGCUCUUUGAGUCGUAAACUUCUGUAGAGAGGGAAGAAUGUCCCGUUCUUCGGGAUUGACGGUACCUCUAGAGUAAGGAUCGGCCAACUACGUGCCAGCAGCCGCGGUAAUACGUAGGAUCCGAGCGUUGUCCGGAAUCACUGGGUGUAAAGGGAGCGCAGGCGGGCUUUCAAGUCGGUGGUGAAAUCUUACAGCUUAACUGUAAAACUGCCUCCGAUACUGCAAGUCUUGAGUGUGGAAGAGGGCGAUGGAAUUCAUGGUGUAGCGGUGAAAUGCGUAGAUAUCAUGAAGAACACCGGUCGCGAAGGCGGUCGCCUGGUCCAUUACUGACGCUCAUGCUCGAAAGUGUGGGGAGCAAACAGGAUUAGAUACCCUGGUAGUCCACACCUUAAACGAUGAAUACUUGGUGUCGGGUCGUAAGGCUCGGUGCCAAAGCUAACGCAUUAAGUAUUCCACCUGGGGAGUACGAUCGCAAGGUG